rfam:Brachypodium distachyon strain Bd21 chromosome 4, whole genome shotgun sequence.
CAAGUACUCCCUCCGUCCCGAAUUAACUGACAUGGAUUUGUAUAGAUUCUUAUACAAAUCCACAUAUUAACUGACGUGGAUUUGUAUAGAUUCUUAUGCAAAUCCACGUCAGUUAAUUCGGGACGGAGGGAGUACUAA